UUCAAGGGUUCCUCAGCUGAUCUCUGUGUUCCCUUCCUAAGCAUAAUUCCCUUUUUUGCCAGUUAAUUCCUUAAGGAUUCCACACAGUGGAUGAACCAUAGAACCAUAAAAUGGUGGGACUGUAAAGUUCCUACAGUUCCAAUUUCUCGUCCAUGGGGAGGGGCACCUUCCACUGGACCAGGCUGCUCAGAGCUCCCUUCCACCUGGCCAUGAAACACUUCAGGGAUGGGGCAUGUGAUGGGCAUAUAGACAUUUAUUCAAGUCCCCCACAUGAAUAUGGGCAAAUUGGACACCAAAAUUAUAAGUUGUUAAAACGGAAUAUUUGAACUGGGCAUUAUUGUGGUUUUGUGCCAUCAUUUCUAUACAUUUGUCAAAUCUAUUCUAUGAUAAGAUUAUUUUUUACCUCUGCUAACAUCAUUUAAUGACAUUUCACACAGGCUCACCACACUGUGUGGCACAAACUGCUGGAAAGAUCAAAAAGGCUGGUCACUGAAGAAGAUUAUUUGGAAACAGCAACACAAUGUCUUGAGGCAAAAGAUGGAACUGAAGAAGCAAAACCUGUAUCAAUUUAAAUUAAGUUGAACCCCUAAAUGUACAUAAUAAAAUGUGUAUUUUUACAUGA